rnacentral:antisense_RNA from 1 species
CUUCACCUCCUGCCAUGAUUCUGAGGCCUCCCCAGCCAUGUGGAACCGUCCUCCCAGAUCUACAGUGUGAGUGCACACAUCCUUCCAGUCAACCAGAGAUUCUGUGCAUUUCUUCUGGAGAGAUCUGAUGCACGGUGAUAACUCGGCGAUACCUACACAAACUGUAGGCCAUUUUCCAGUGAUUGAAGCCACUGUUCUGGAAAGGAUGUAUGCCCAGCUUUCGAAGACACAGUCCCACAUAUACGUCUUCAAGGUGAAGCAGUCUUGUGUGGAGUGAGGUCUUGUAAAUGAGUUCAGCCACAUCGGCUGAAAAGAUGUAGCCAGUCCCCGAACAGAAAGGAAGUUAGUGGGGCAGAAUUUUCAAUUUAAGAAGCACAUAUUUCUCCUAGAAACUGCAUGGUAGAUUGUCUGUUAUUCUGAAUAAUUUAUUUCAAGAAACCCACAGAAUUGCUGAAAUUUUUUUAUACAGCCAGAGGUGGGAUCGCUUUGGGACUCUGAGAUUCUCACGCAGGAAGUUUAUUGGAGCAUGUUCUUAGGAACAACACCUGUCUCUAAUGUGAGAGGAGAAAGAAGAAGGCAAAGGGAGAGUCUGAACCUUGAUGCAGUCACAGCACAGACCUGAGCUGACCCUGCAGGGAGCUCUGGGGCUGGGAU